GUAACGCGUAGGUAAUCUACUCUUCAGUGGGGGAUACCCAGCCGAAAGGUUGGUUAAUACCGCAUACGCUCCUGUGCAGAGAGGUACAGGAGGAAAGGUUUACUGCUGAGGAAUGAGCCUGCGUCCGAUUAGCUAGUUGUGGGUAAAGGCUCACCAAGGCGACGAUCGGUAGCUGGUCUGAGAGGACGAUCAGCCACACUGGAACUGAGACACGGUCCAGACUCCUACGGGAGGCAGCAGUGGGGAAUUUUCCGCAAUGGGCGAAAGCCUGACGGAGCAACGCCGCGUAGGUGAUGAAGUUUUUCGGAACGUAAAACCCUUUCGCCAGGGACGAAGCGAGUGACGGUACCUGGAGAAGAAGCAUCGGCUAACUACGUG
rnacentral:rRNA from 1 species